GAUGAACGCUAGCGACAGGCUUAACACAUGCAAGUCGAGGGGCAGCGGGGGCGUAGUAAUAUGCCUGCCGGCGACCGGCGCACGGGUGAGUAACACGUAUGUAACCUGCCCUAUGCAGGGGGAUAACCCGGAGAAAUCCGGCCUAAUACCGCGUAACACCUUUGGGGAGCAUUCCCUUGGGGUUAAAGGAGAGAUCCGGCAUAGGAUGGACAUGCGUCGCAUUAGGUAGACGGCGGGGUAACGGCCCACCGUGCCGACGAUGCGUAGGGGUUCUGAGAGGAAGGCCCCCCACACUGGUACUGAGACACGGACCAGACUCCUACGGGAGGCAGCAGUGAGGAAUAUUGGUCAAUGGCCGAGAGGCUGAACCAGCCAAGUCGCGUGAGGGAAGAAUGUCCUAAGGAUUGUAAACCUCUUUUGUCGGGGAGCAAAAAGGCUCUGCGGAGUCGUAUUGAGAGUACCCGAAGAAAAAGCAUCGGCUAACUCCGUGCCAGCAGCCGCGGUAAUACGGAGGAUGCGAGCGUUAUCCGGAUUUAUUGGGUUUAAAGGGUGCGCAGGCGGCGUGUCAAGCAAGCGGUAAAAUAGCGGGGCUCAACCCCGUCGAGCCGUUUGAACUGGCGCGCUUGAGUUCAGGCGAGGUAGGCGGAAUUCGUGGUGUAGCGGUGAAAUGCAUAGAUAUCACGAAGAACUCCGAUUGCGAAGGCAGCUUACCAGUCUGCGACUGACGCUCAGGCACGAAAGUGUGGGUAUCGAACAGGAUUAGAUACCCUGGUAGUCCACACAGUAAACGAUGAGCGCUAGGUGUCCGGGUCGAAUGAGGCUUGGGUGCCCGAGCGAAAGCGUUAAGCGCUCCACCUGGGGAGUACGCCGGCAACGGUGAAACUCAAAGGAAUUGACGGGGGCCCGCACAAGCGGAGGAACAUGUGGUUUAAUUCGAUGAUACGCGAGGAACCUUACCCGGGCUCAAACGACUCAGGAAUAUAUUGGAAACGAUGUAGCCAGCAAUGGUCUGAGUCGAGGUGCUGCAUGGUUGUCGUCAGCUCGUGCCGUGAGGUGUCGGCUUAAGUGCCAUAACGAGCGCAACCCCUACCGCCAGUUGCCAACGGGUAAAGCCGGGAACUCUGGCGGGACUGCCGGCGCAAGCUGCGAGGAAGGCGGGGAUGACGUCAAAUCAGCACGGCCCUUACGUCCGGGGCGACACACGUGUUACAAUGGCAGGUACAGCGGGAAGCCACCUGGUGACAGGGAGCGGAACCCGAAAGCCUGUCUCAGUUCGGAUUGGAGUCUGCAACUCGACUCCAUGAAGCUGGAUUCGCUAGUAAUCGCGCAUCAGCCAUGGCGCGGUGAAUACGUUCCCGGGCCUUGUACACACCGCCCGUCAAGCCAUGGGAGCCGGGGGUGCCUGAAGUACGUGACCGCGAGGAGCGUCCUAGGGCAAAACUGGUGACUGGGGCUAAGUCGUAACAAGGUAGCCGUACCGGAAGGUGCGGCUGGAACACCUCCUUUCUGGAGCGGGACAUUCCGCCGGAAGUUCAAGUUACGCAUGAAAAGGAAUAAGAAGUAUUAUAAUGGAUUUGAUUCUGUUGUAACUUCUUUCGUCGAGAUCGAUGCAAUUAAUGAUAUAGCCCGCAGUCUCCCGGCCAUGUGCGGCGAGGGGAUUAGCAUAGUCCCUUAGCUCAGUUGGUUAGAGCGCUACACUGAUAAUGUAGAGGUCGGCAGUUCAACUCUGCCAGGGACUACCAUAGCGGGAAUCCGAUUCUUGUGAGUUUUUAAUUGACUGAUAAGAAUCAGGCGGAAGCAGGACUGACCCCCUGUCCGUCUACUUUACCGGCGUCAGUGUUUUUUGAACAUGACACUGGGCGCGGUACCGGUCGCAGAUUGACAUUAUGGAAGCAAAACCAAAUCUCAUCUCAAAAAGUAAGAGAAAAAGAUCACAACGAGCGGUUGCCGAUUCCGAAAGGAUCGGUGACAAGCGACAAGAUCUCGAGCUAAAAAAGAAAAAGGAAAGGAGAAAAGGGCACAUGAAGGAUGCCUAGGCUCCCGGAGGCGAAGAAGGACGUGACAAGCUGCGAUAAGCCAUGGUAAGGGGCAAAUACCCGUUCAGCCAUGGAUUUCCGAAUGGGGCAACCCGUCGGUAGAGAUACCGUCAUCCGCGUAAGCGGAAGCUAACCCGGGGAACUGAAACAUCUCAGUACCCGGAGGAAAAGAAAACAAAAGUGAUUGCGCAAGUAGUGGCGAGCGAACGCGCAGAAGCCCAAACCGUAUCCGUGGCAACGCGGAUGCGGGGUUGUAGGACCGUCGGCGGUAUUGUAUUUUAAUGAGAGCGGAAAUGACUGGAACGUCAUACCGCAGAGGGUGAAAGUCCCGUAUGCGAAUCAUUUAGAUACAAUCAGACGGCACCUGAGUAAGCCGGAACACGAGAAAUUCUGGCCGAAUCCGCGGGGACCAUCCCGUAAGGCUAAAUACUCCCGGGAGACCGAUAGUGAACC
rnacentral:rRNA from 1 species